UGAGUGAUGAAGGCCUUAGGGUUGUAAAGCUCUUUUACCCGGGAUGAUAAUGGCAGAACAUGGAGAAUAAGCUCCGGCUAACUCCGUGCCAGCAGCCGCGGUAAUACGGAGGGAGCUAGCGUUGUUCGGAAUUACUGGGCGUAAAGCGCACGUAGGCGGUUAUUCAAGUCAGAGGUGAAAGCCCGGGGCUCAAUCCCGGAACAGCCUUUGAAACUAGAUAACUAGAAUUCUGGAGAGGUCAGUGGAAUUCCGAGUGUAGAGGUGAAAUUCGUAGAUAUGUGCAGGAAUGCCGAUGAUGAAGAUAGUUCACUGCCCGGUAACAGAUGGUUAAGUGCGAAAGCCGGGGGAGCGAACAGG
rnacentral:rRNA from 1 species